rnacentral:rRNA from 1 species
GCGAGUGAAGCGGGAAAAGCUCAAAUUUAAAAUCUGGCGGUCUAUGGCUGUCCGAGUUGUAAUCUAGAGAAGUAAUGCCCGCGCUGGACCGUGUACAAGUCUCCUGGAAUGGAGCGUCAUAGAGGGUGAGAAUCCCGUCUCUGACACGGACUACCAGGGCUUUGUGGUAUGCUCUCAAAGAGUCGAGUUGUUUGGGAAUGCAGCUCUAAAUGGGUGGUAAAUUCCAUCUAAAGCUAAAUAUUGGCGAGAGACCGAUAGCGAACAAGUACCGUGAGGGAAAGAUGAAAAGAACUUUGGAAAGAGAGUUAAACAGUACGUGAAAUUGCUGAAAGGGAAACGCUUGAAGUCAGUCGCGUUGGCCAGGAAUCAGCCUCGCUCUUGCGUGGUGUACUUUCUGGUUGACGGGUCAGCAUCAAUUUUGAUUGCUGGAAAAAGGCUUAGGGAAUGUGGCAGCUUCGGCUGUGUUAUAGCCCUUUGUCACAUACAGCAGUUGGGAUUGAGGAACUCAGCACGCCGAAAGGCCAGGUUUCGACCAUGUUCGUGCUUAGGAUGCUGGCAUAAUGGCUUUAAGCGACCCGUCUUGAAACACGGACCAAGGA